rnacentral:rRNA from 1 species
AGAGCGAACGCUGGCGGCGUGCUUAACACAUGCAAGUCGAGUGCGCGCCUGUAGCAAUACAGGUGGCGCACGGCGCACGGGUGCGUAACACGUGGGUAAUCUGCCCUUCGAAGGGGAAUAACUCGCCGAAAGGCGAGCUAAUUCCGCAUAACAUUCCGAGGACUUUGGUUUUCGGAUUCAAAGGCGUAAGUCGUCGGAGGAGGAGCCCGCGCACGAUUAGCUAGUUGGUGAGGUAAUGGCUCACCAAGGCUAUGAUCGUUA